AUUCAAUAACAAAAAUAAUACCCACAGGGUUUUAAAUAAAGCACCUCUUUUUUCUCUUUCGCAGAUCAAGCCACGGAACAGACCGGACACGACAAAUGCGAAAGGCUUGUUCCAUUGCCACCGUCACAGGCAUCGUACAGGCUGACCUGCACGUACAGGUGCAAGGACGAUCCCUCUCGCUUUGAAGAUGAACCGGACGGUAUCCCUUGUGGGCAUAUUCCGGCCAUACGAGAAGUGACUGCUUGCAAAAAUGGAACGUGCGUUUUGUCUCGUCCGCUACCCUGCCCACCAGAUGAGUCGGAAGGCACCACGACUUCGGCAGCUGUGAGCACUUAACAGUCUAACUUGACGCAAGCGCAGUAGUGCGAAAAUUAGAAUCCCUGGAUCCAUGUGCGCAUGUCAGUGAUAAACAGAAGUGCCUGUUUAAGAACAUGCAACCCGACAAUAUUGCUCAAUAAAUUCACGUACU